rnacentral:misc_RNA from 1 species
GAAAUGCGAUAAGUAAUGUGAAUUGCAGAAUUCAGUGAAUCAUCGAAUCUUUGAACGCACAUUGCGCCCGUUAGCAUUCUAGCGGGCAUGCCUGUUCGAGCGUCAUUUCAACCCUCAGAACCCCUGUAUUUUUAUGCUGGGUGUGCUGGUGUUGGGGCUUCUGCGGCUGCCGCAGGCCCUGAAAAACAGUGGCGGGCUCCGCUAUACUCCGAGCGCAGUAAUACUUCUCGCUCAGGGCGUGUAGUGGGGAUCUUGUCUUCUAAUUUAACUUAAAUGGUUGACCUCGGAUCAGGUAGGAAUACCCGCUGAACUUAA